UGAAUAACUGACAGAAGAUAGGCUAGAGAUGAUGGCGAGAAAAGAUCGAUAGUUUGUGGAAUGAGAACAAGAGGAUAACAGGACAAGAACCUCAAAUGAGGAGUUGGUGGAUAAGUAUCUGGUAGAAUGAGAAGGUAGGUAUGAAUUAGUACA